AAAGACCUGUAGGACUUUCUCCUACAUCAU
rnacentral:tRNA from 1 species